GAUGAACGCUGGCGGCGUGCCUAAUACAUGCAAGUCGAGCGAACAGACGAGGAGCUUGCUCCUCUGACGUUAGCGGCGGACGGGUGAGUAACACGUGGAUAACCUACCUAUAAGACUGGGAUAACUUCGGGAAACCGGAGCUAAUACCGGAUAAUAUAUUGAACCGCAUGGUUCAAUAGUGAAAGACGGUUUUGCUGUCACUUAUAGAUGGAUCCGCGCCGCAUUAGCUAGUUGGUAAGGUAACGGGUUACCAAGGCAACGAUGCGUAGCCGACCUGAGAGGGUGAUCGGCCACACUGGAACGGAGAACCGGUCCACACCCCAACGGGAGGCAGCAGUAGGGAAUCUUCCCCAAUGGGCGAAAGCUUGACGGGUCAACGCCGCCUGAGUGAUGAAGGUCUUCGGAUCGUAAAACUCUGUUAUUAGGGAAGAACAAAUGUGUAAGUAACUAUGCACGUCUUGACGGUACCUAAUCAGAAAGCCACGGCUAACUACGUG
rnacentral:rRNA from 1 species